rnacentral:rRNA from 1 species
AACGAACGCUGGCGGCAUGCCUAACACAUGCAAGUCGAACGAGACCUUCGGGUCUAGUGGCGCACGGGUGCGUAACGCGUGGGAACCUGCCCUUAGGUUCGGAAUAACUCCCCGAAAGGGGUGCUAAUACCGGAUAAUGUCUUCGGACCAAAGAUUUAUCGCCUUUGGAUGGGCCCGCGUUGGAUUAGCUAGUUGGUAGGGUAAAAGCCUACCAAGGCGACGAUCCAUAGCUGGUCUGAGAGGAUGAUCAGCCACACUGGGACUGAGACACGGCCCAGAAUCCUACGGGAGGCAGCAGUGGGGAAUAUUGGAAAAUGGGCGAAAGCCUGAUCCAGCAAUGCGGCGUGAGUGAUGAAGGCCUUAGGGUUGUAAAGCUCUUUUAAACGGGAUGAUAAUGACAGUACCGGGAGAAUAAGCUCCGGCUAACUCCGUG